rnacentral:misc_RNA from 1 species
AACGCGAAUGGCACUGUUACGUAAGUAGCAGUAUGUCUGUUUGAGAAUCGCAAACACGAUCAACUCUAGUUAAGAGUUGGAACUGGCCUCAUGUGCUGCUUUGCAUAUUUGGUUUGAAUAUAUUGAGUUGAUGAGCCUCCCAAUGUUGCUCAAUGUGUGCUAGCGAGACAGUCGUCCCGAUCUCACAUUAAAGCUUUAUUGCAGGGCUCUAUAAACAACUUUUGUUUCAUUAUCAAUUACGAUCUCAAAUCAGACAAGAUUACCCGCUGAACUUAA